rnacentral:rRNA from 1 species
CAGUCGCCGCGGUAAAACGAAGGGGGCUAGCGUUGCUCGGAAUUACUGGGCGUAAAGGGAGCGUAGGCGGACAUUUAAGUCAGGGGUGAAAUCCCAGAGCUCAACUCUGGAACUGCCUUUGAUACUGGGUGUCUUGAGUGUGAUAGAGGUAUGUGGAACUCCGAGUGUAGAGGUGAAAUUCGUAGAUAUUCGGAAGAACACCAGUGGCGAAGGCGACAUACUGGAUCAUUACUGACGCUGAGGCUCGAAAGCGUGGGGAGCAAACAGGAUUAGAUACCCCUGUAGUCCCUGUCUCUUAUAC